rnacentral:rRNA from 3 species
ACAACUUUCAGCAACGGAUCUCUUGGCUCUCGCAUCGAUGAAGAACGCAGCGAAAUGCGAUAAGUAAUGUGAAUUGCAGAAUUCAGUGAAUCAUCGAAUCUUUGAACGCACCUUGCGCUCCUUGGUAUUCCGAGGAGCAUGCCUGHUUGAGHGHCAUGAA